rnacentral:precursor_RNA from 8 species
CUUAAGCUCUCCCACAGCUGCUGUGCUGUUGUUUUUUUAGGUUUUGAUUUUUGUGAAAUGUCGAUGAGAAAAUCAAAACCUAAAGAAAAUACUGCGCAGAUAGAUGGACAUCACCUCUGCC